UGUCCUGUCUAUCUCUUCCUCUGUCUACCUGUCUAUUCCCCAGUCUGUCUGUCAGUCUGUCUGUCUGUCUGUCUGUUCCCCAGUCUGUCUGUCUGUCUGUCUGUUCCCCAGUCAGUCUGUCUGUCUCUCUCUUCCCCAGUCAGUCUGUCUGUUCUCUCUCUUUCCCAGUCUGUCUGUCUGUCUGUCUCUCUCUUCCCCAGUCUGUCUGUCUGUCUGUCUCUCUCUUCCCAGUCUGUCUGUCUGUCUGUCUCUCUCUUCCACAGUCUGUCUGUCUGUCUCUCUCUUCCCCAGUCUGUCUGUCUGUCUCUCUCUUCCCCAUCUUGUCUGUCUGUCUCUCUCUCUCUUCCCCAGUCUGUCUGUCUGUCUGUCUCUCUCUCCCCAGUCUGUCUGUCUGUCUUCCCCAGUCUGUCUGUCUCUCUCUUCCCCAGUCUGUCUGUCUGUCUCUCUCUUCCCCAGUCUGUCUGUCUGUCUCUCUCUUCCCCCAGUCUGUCUGUCUGUCUCUCUCUUCCCAGUCUGUCUGUCUGUCUGUCUCUCUCUUCCCCUGUCUGUCUGUCUGUCUCUCUCUCUCUUCCCCAUUCUGUCUGUCUGUCUCUCUCUCUCUUCCCCAGUCUGUCUGUCUGUCUGUCUCUCUCUUCCCCAGUCUGUCUGUCUGUCUUCCCCGUCUGUCUGUCUGUCUUCCCCUGUCUGUCUGUCUUCCCCAGUCUGUCUGUCUUCCCCAGUCUGUCUGUCUGUCUUCCCC
ensembl:lncRNA